UGCGAUGGCCAGCAUAAAUGCUGUUUAUAUUCACGUUUCCCUAGGUGUGUGUGUGCAGGCCACAGCAGCACGCCCUUGGUGUAGUCAGUGCCGAAGGGAGUCUGUUCCUUCUGAGCCUGCCUGCAGGGAUGGUCUCCUUGUAAAGCAGGGUGUGUCCAACAUUCAGUACACUGAAGGCAUAAACCUUCCACUCUUGAACAAAGCAGCUGCUUUUUAAAAGCGGUAAUUGCUUCUUUACCUUUUAUUUCUUUUGUAAAUGAAGCUUUUCUUUAAGGAUGUAACUUUAAAGUGUUGUCUAUUGCAUAAAACAGUUGACACUCACUUAUUGUAAAGUGAAGAUUGUUCUACUGCAUGUGACGUGGACCAUGCAGAUUUCUGUAUGUUCUCAGUAUGCAUCACUAGAUAAUAAAGUCUUUUGUGAACAAGGCAAAAAAAAAAUAAUAA